ACGUGUGAUCAUACCAGCACUAAUGCAUUUGAUCCACUUAGAACUCCACAGAUAAGCGUGCUUGGGCGAUAGUACUAUUAGGAUGGGUGACUUCCUGGGAAGUCCUCGUGUUGCACCAC
rnacentral:rRNA from 2 species